CAGUCGCCGCGGGAAUACGUAGGGCGCAAGCGUUGUCCGGAAUUAUUGGGCGUAAAGAGCUCGUAGGCGGUCUGUCGCGUCUGGUGUGAAAUCCCGAGGCUCAACCUCGGGCUUGCAUCGGGUACGGGCAGACUAGAGUGCGGUAGGGGAGACUGGAAUUCCUGGUGUAGCGGUGGAAUGCGCAGAUAUCAGGAGGAACACCGAUGGCGAAGGCAGGUCUCUGGGCCACAACUGACGCUGAGGAGCGAAAGCAUGGGGAGCGAACAGGAUUAGAUACCCCUGUAGUCCCUGUCUCUUAUAC
rnacentral:rRNA from 1 species